rnacentral:rRNA from 1 species
AACUUAGCAGAGAUGCUUUGGUGCCUUCGGGAACUCUGAGACAGGUGCUGCAUGGCUGUCGUCAGCUCGUGUUGUGAAAUGUUGGGGUUAAGUCCCGCAACGAGCGCAACCCCUAUCCUUUGUUGCCAGCGAUUCGGUCGGGAACUCAAAGGAGACUGCCGGUGAUAAACCGGAGGAAGGUGGGGAUGACGUCAAGUCAUCAUGGCCCUUACGAGUAGGGCUACACACGUGCUACAAUGGCGCAUACAAAGAGAAGCGACCUCGCGAGAGCAAGCGGACCUCAUAAAGUGCGUCGUAGUCCGGAUUGGAGUCUGCAACUCGACUCCAUGAAGUCGGAAUCGCUAGUAAUCGUAGAUCAGAAUGCUACGGUGAAUACGUUCCCGGGCCUUGUACACACCGCCCGUCACACCAUGGGAGUGGGUUGCAAAAGAAGUAGAUAGCUUAACCUUCGGGAGGGCGUUUACCACUUUGUGAUUCAUGACUGGGGUGAAGUCGUAACAAGGUAAGCGUAGCGAG